rnacentral:rRNA from 1 species
UAAGUGACUAAGCGUACACGGUGGAUGCCUUGGCAGUCAGAGGCGAUGAAGGACGUAUUAACUUGCGAUAAGCCCAGAUUAGGUAGUAAAAACCACUUGAGUCUGGGAUUUCCGAAUGGGGAAACCCACUUACAUAAGUAAGUAUCGUUAUGUGAAUACAUAGCAUAACGAGGCGAACCGGGGGAACUGAAACAUCUAAGUACCCCGAGGAAAAGAAAUCAACCGAGAUUCCGAAAGUAGCGGCGAGCGAAAUUGGACUAGCCCUUAAGCUUUAUAGGCGUUAGGUGAACAAGCUGGAAAGCUUGGCGAUACAGGGUGAUAGCCCCGUAACUGACGACGCAUAUUCAGUGAAAUCGAGUAGGGCGGGACACGUGAUAUCCUGUCUGAAUAUGGGGGGACCAUCCUCCAAGGCUAAAUACUACUGACUGACCGAUAGUGAACCAGUACCGUGAGGGAAAGGCGAAAAGAACCCCUGUGAGGGGAGUGAAAUAGAACCUGAAACCGUGUACGUACAAGCAGUAGGAGCAGGCUUUGUCCUGUGACUGCGUACCUUUUGUAUAAUGGGUCAGCGACUUAUAUUCAGUGGCAAGGUUAACCAUCUAGGGGAGCCGUAGGGAAACCGAGUCUUAACUGGGCGUUCAGUCUCUGGAUAUAGACCCGAAACCAGGUGAUCUAGCCAUGGCAGGUUGAAGGUUGAGUAACAUCAACUGGAGGACCGAACCGACUAAUGUUGAAAAAUUAGCGGAUGACUUGUGGCUAGGGGUGAAAGGCCAAUCAAACCUGGAGAUAGCUGGUUCUCCCCGAAAGCUAUUUAGGUAGCGCCUCGGACGAAUACUACUGGGGGUAGAGCACUGUUAAGGCUAGGGGGUCAUCCCGACUUACCAACCCUUUGCAAACUCCGAAUACCAGUAAGUACUAUCCGGGAGACACACGGCGGGUGCUAACGUCCGUCGUGGAGAGGGGAAACAACCCAGACCGCCAGCUAAGGUCCCAAAUACUACUAAGUGGGAAACGAUGUGGGAAGGCUCAGACAGCCAGGAUGUUGGCUUAGAAGCAGCCAUCAUUUAAAGAAAGCGUAAUACUCACUGGUCGAGUCGGCCUGCGCGGAAGAUGUAACGGGG